CCUACGGGUGGCAGCAGUGGGGAAUAUUGCGCUAAUGCGCGAAAGCGUGACGCAGCGACGCCGCGUGGGGGAUGAAGGCCCUCGGGUCGUAAACCCCUUUCGGCAGGGACGAAGCGAAAGUGACGGUACCUGCAGAAGAAGUCCCGGCUAACUACGUGCCAGCAGCCGCGGUAACACGUAGGGGACGAGCGUUGUCCGGAUUCAUUGGGCGUAAAGCGCGCGUAGGCGGCCCGGAAAGUCGGAUGUGAAACCCCGGGGCUCAACCCCGGGCCUGCAUCCG
rnacentral:rRNA from 1 species